rnacentral:rRNA from 1 species
CGACCGGCGCACGGGUGAGUAACACGUAUCCAACCUGCCGUCUACUCUUGGACAGCCUUCUGAAAGGAAGAUUAAUACAAGAUGGCAUCAUGAGUCCGCAUGUUCACAUGAUUAAAGGUAUUCCGGUAGACGAUGGGGAUGCGUUCCAUUAGAUAGUAGGCGGGGUAACGGCCCACCUAGUCUUCGAUGGGUAGGGGUUCUGGGAGGAAGGUCCCCCACAUUGGAACUGAGACACGGUCCAGACUCCUACGGGAGGCAGCAUG